CCUACGGGAGGCAGCAGUGGGGAAUAUUGGGCAAUGGGCGCAAGCCUGACCCAGCAACGCCGCGUGAAGGAAGAAGGCUUUCGGGUUGUAAACUUCUUUUCUCAGGGACGAAGCAAGUGACGGUACCUGAGGACUAAGCCACGGCUAACUACGUGCCAGCAGCCGCGGUAAUACGUAGGUGGCAAGCGUUAUCCGGAUUUACUGGGUGUAAAGGGCGUGUAGGCGGGGAAGCAAGUCAGAUGUGAAAACCACGGGCUCAACCUGUGGCCUGCAUUUGAAACUGUGUUGCUAGAGUACUGGAGAGGCAGACGGAAUUCCUAGUGUAGCGGUGAAAUGCGUAGAUAUUAGGAGGAACACCAGUGGCGAAGGCGGUCUGCUGGACAGCAACUGACGCUGAGGCGCGAAAGCGUGGGGAGCAAACAGGAUUAGAUACCCGAGUAGUC
rnacentral:rRNA from 1 species